GACAGAGGGUGCAAACGUUGUUCGGAAUUACUGGGCGUAAAGCGCGUGUAGGCGGCUAUGUAAGUCGGACGUGAAAUCCCUGGGCUCAACCCAGGAACUGCAUCCGAAACUGUCAGUCUGGAGUGGUGGAGAGGGAAGCAGAAUUCCUGGUGUAGAGGUGAAAUUCGUAGAUAUCAGGAGGAACACCGGUGGCGAAGGCGGCUUCCUGGACACUAACUGACGCUGAGACGCGAAAGCGUGGGGAGCAAACAGG
rnacentral:rRNA from 1 species